UAGCAAUGGACAAGCAGUCUCCUCCCUUUAGCAACUGGCAUGGGCAGGGCCACCAGGAACAGCCAGGCCCGUCUCGCCACUCAGUUUGGGUUGGCGAGUUACAUGAAGCAGAGGCUCUGUGGCCUAGCCACGGAAAGGAGGGACACUGAAAGUGAAAAUCCUUUUCAUGGGCCCCAGCGAGGCAGGAAGAUUGCCAUACAGCAAAAUCCUUAUUUGUUCCAGUUUGCUCAACCAAAGUUAUACCCAAACCUGGACUCCUUAUGGACAGGAGCCUGGAAAGAAAGAUUGCCAACAUCACUCUUUCCCUGAAAAUGUGAAGCAAUGCUGGCAUCAGAUAUGGGGUGUGGGUUUCUCAUACCUGAACUCUGCAAAAUGUAGACUUUUCAAUAAAGAACCUUCCACAGUGACAUAGGCCAACCAGACUGAAUCUAUCUGUAUGUGGAAGAACAUAAAGAUUUAUAUCCCUAAUUAGCCCAGAUGUAACAUUUCCUUAUAAAGGAUUUUGCUCCAGCACUGGAAUAAUUCUAGGUGCCCUCUUCUGCACCAUUUUCCAGUUCUACAACUUCCAUUUUAGAUGAUGUGUCCCAAGACAGAUUCAACACAAUAAAGUAGCAUCCUGGU